rnacentral:rRNA from 1 species
CAGCAGCCACGGUAAUACGAAGGGGGCUAGCGUUGCUCGGAAUGACUGGGCGUAAAGGGCGCGUAGGCGGCGAUCAAAGUCAGGCGUGAAAUUCCUGGGCUCAACCUGGGGGCUGCGUUUGAUACUUGAUUGCUAGAGUGGGGAAGAGGGUCGUGGAAUUCCCAGUGUAGAGGUGAAAUUCGUAGAUAUUGGGAAGAACACCGGUGGCGAAGGCGGCGACCUGGUCCUUUACUGACGCUGAUGCACGAAAGCUAGGGGAGCAAACAGGAUUAGAUACCCCAGUAGUCCCUGUCUCUUAUAC